rnacentral:rRNA from 1 species
GAUGAACGCUGGCGGCGUGCCUAAUACAUGCAAGUCGAGCGAAUGGAUUAAGAGCUUGCUCUUAUGAAGUUAGCGGCGGACGGGUGAGUAACACGUGGGUAACCUGCCCAUAAGACUGGGAUAACUCCGGGAAACCGGGGCUAAUACCGGAUAACAUUUUGAACCGCAUGGUUCGAAAUUGAAAGGCGGCUUCGGCUGUCACUUAUGGAUGGACCCGCGUCGCAUUAGCUAGUUGGUGAGGUAACGGCUCACCAAGGCAACGAUGCGUAGCCGCCCUGAGAGGGUGAUCGGCCACACUGGGACUGAGACACAGCCCAGACUCCUACGGGAGGCAGCAGUAGGGAAUCUUCCGCAAUGGACGAAAGUCUGACGGAGCAACGCCGCGUGAGUGAGGAAGGCUUUCGGGUCGUAAAACUCUGUUGUUAGGGAAGAACAAGUGCUAGUUGAAUAAGCUGGCACCUUGACGGUACCUAACCAGAAAGCCACGGCUAACUACGUGCCAGCCGCCGCAGUAA